UUCUCACCCGAAAUUCUUUUCCACCACCGCCGUCUGAAAUGGGAAACUAACUGCAUACAUGUACCUCAGGAGGAUUAAUCGAUCUCAACGUACGCCUACCAGCUGCAAGAGAAAUAUGCUUGUAAAUCAAUGAUAGCCAAAUGAAAUUUGAAGAUCUAAGAAGACAAGUACAGAUCAACAUACGCCUAUCUAAUAAACCAGGAAAGGGGUCAUUUGAAGAUGGCAGUAGCAAAGAUAGUUGCUUAUCAUCCUAAUGUCUUAUUGGUUGAGCAUAUCUCUUUAUGUCAAUAUCAAGAGGCCUCUGUUAGAGCAUAUAAAGCGCUGCACAAAUAGUUCCUUCGGUGGAUCAUCUUUUGUCUCAAAAGCCGGGUUAUUGUGAAGCAUUCCAUCUGGAGAAGUUCCUUGAAGCACAUGGGAGUGCUGGGCAGGGAGGAAAAGAAUUGGUGAAGACACUUAUGUUCGUUGAUGGGUGCCUCGACCCAUUGGGUUGUACAAUCUUUCUAAAGUGCAUCAUGGCGAUGAGCUGAAAAAAGUUAAACACGUUCUCCAGUUUGCGUCUUUGCAGCGUAUCACUUUCAUUGGAGACUUCUUUUCUUGCUGAUGAAAAUGGCUCUCUUCCAUAACAUCCAUUGAAGUCUCUCAUAAUUGGCGCCUUGCCCGAUAAACCAUCCAGUAUUAAAUGUCAAUAUCUACUAUACCUGGAUUCGCGGUUGUCCCUACCACAUCCAAACCUAGUCUCAUCCGAGAUAACCUCCCCAGGCGCUAUCUGCAAUCAAAACUUGGAUUUUGGCCAAUCUUCCGGUUUGUCUAAAUUCCCCGCUUGUCAAUACACAGAGGUGACCUGCAGCUUAAUGGCAUAUCCCUCUUCUUCUUCUUCGUUCUACCUACUCCAGCGAAUUAUGUCUCUGGUUUGGUCCGAAAUUAGCCAUAUUGUCCAUCUGAGGUGAAACAUUAAGCAGAAUUUCGAGAUUCUAUGGAUACCGAUGCUUCUGCAUCAAAUAGUUGAUAGGGAAUUGGUGGUAGUCCACUUGCUAAAAGUGCUGAGUUGUUGGGAAGAAAGAUGCAUUAUUUAUUGGUUCCCAAAGAAGCUAUACGAUUACCUAAUGAUUGUGGGUAAUGCAACUGCUAAGGCGAGGUAGUUAUAUUAUACAAGAUAUAAAUGAAACAACCACAUAUAAAGUCAACAUCUUUACAGAAAGACCUUGUAAUCACCUUGACAAGCUAGGACCUUCCAAAGACGAUUUUCCUCCACUCCCUUCGGGCCAUCAAGCAUCUUGGUUUCAUCAUCAAUCUGGAGUAGUGUGGAAAGGAGCUGUUUGUGAACAGGCUCAUUUCUUGCGUUUCAAGUACCAUGCCAGCUUUGACAAGCCCUUGGGGAGGUCUCUAUGAGACAAUUUAUUUGCUCAGCAUAUCACUUGGCACUGGAGACUUCUUUUCGUGCUGAUGAAGGUGCAUCUCUUCCAGAACUUCCUCCGAAGUCUCCCAUAACUAUUGCCUGGCCCGAUAAACCUUCUAGUAUUGAUAGGUCAGUGUCUACUAUACCUGGAUUCGCGGUUGUUCCUACCACUUCCAAGCCUCAGGGUUCUCCAUCGAAUAUUGAUUCACAAUCUGAAAUAACCUCUCCAGCCUCUCCCCGCAAAAGCUUGGUUUUUGCCCAAUCGUCCGGUUUGUCCAAGUUUCCCACUUCUCAAUACAGAGAGGUAACCUCCAGCUUAAUGGCUUAUCCCUCUUCUUCUUCAUUGUGACCUACUCCGGCGAAUUAUGUCUCUGGUCCGUUGCGAAAUGAGCCAUAUCACCCAUAUGAAACAUAUAACAGAAUUUCUAGAUUCUAUGGAGACCGAUGCCUCUGCAUUUAACAUUUGCCUGGGAAUUGGUGGUAAUCCUCUUGCUAAGAAUGCUGAGUUGUUGGGUGGGGGGUGGGGAAAGAAGCUAAUGAUAAAUGAAACAGCCACAUUUAGGUCAACAUCUUUUCAGCAAGACCUCGUAAUCACCUUGACUAGCCAGGAUCUUCCAAACAAGAUUUUCCUCAAUCACUUUCGGACCAUCAAAGCAUCUUGGUUUCAUUGUCAAUCCGGAAUGUCUGGAAAGGAACCGUUUGUGAACGGGCUCAUCUCUUGCGUAUGAAAUACUAUGGCAGAUUUGGCAAGACCUUGGGGAGGUUUCUCAGAGACAAUUUAUUAGCUCAGAGCUCGAGGGACAGCUUAACCUCGCAAAUGAGAAACUUGAAAAGGCUCAAUCUUCCCUAGUGUACCAGGAGGGUCAAACCAAGUAUUUCGAAGGGCUGGAUGGAUCUAGGGAUGCAGCGGCGAAGGAAGCAGCCCAGGAGGUGGCCCGCUUGACAUCUCUGUUGUCGCAAUCCGAGCUCAAAGCUACCAUGAU